rnacentral:rRNA from 1 species
CAGUCGCCGCGGGAAUACGUAGGCGGCAAGCGUUGUCCGGAAUUAUUGGGCGUAAAGGGCUCGCAGGCGGUUUCUUAAGUCUGAUGUGAAAGCCCCCGGCUCAACCGGGGAGGGUCAUUGGAAACUGGGAAACUUGAGUGCAGAAGAGGAGAGUGGAAUUCCACGUGUAGCGGUGAAAUGCGUAGAGAUGUGGAGGAACACCAGUGGCGAAGGCGACUCUCUGGUCUGUAACUGACGCUGAGGAGCGAAAGCGUGGGGAGCGAACAGGAUUAGAUACCCCGGUAGUCCCUGUCUCUUAUAC